rnacentral:rRNA from 1 species
UACGUAGGCAGCAAGCGUUGUUCGGAUUUACUGGGCGUAAAGGGCGCGUAGGCGGCGUAACAAGUCACUUGUGAAAUCUCCGGGCUUAACCCGGAGCGGCCAAGUGAUACUGUUGUGCUAGAGUGCGGAAGGGGCUACUGGAAUACCCGGUGUAGCGGUGAAAUGCGUAGAGAUCGGGUGGAACACCAGAGGCGAAGGCGGCGACCUGGAUAGGUACUGACACUAAACAACGAAAGCGUGGGGAGCAAACAGG